rnacentral:rRNA from 1 species
CCUACGUGCGGCAGCAGUAGGGAAUCUUCCGCAAUGGACGCAAGUCUGACGGAGCAACGCCGCGUGAGUGAAGAAGGAUUUCGGUUCGUAAAACUCUGUUGUUAGAGAAGAACAGCGCAUAGAGUAACUGUUAUGCGUGUGACGGUAUCUAACCAGAAAGUCACGGCUAACUACGUGCCAGCAGCCGCGGUAAUACGUAGGUGGCAAGCGUUGUCCGGAUUUAUUGGGCGUAAAGCGAGCGCAGGCGGUCAAUUAAGUCUGAUGUGAAAGCCCCCGGCUCAACCGGGGAGGGUCAUUGGAAACUGGUUGACUUGAGUGCAGAAGAGGAGAGUGGAAUUCCAUGUGUAGCGGUGAAAUGCGUAGAUAUAUGGAGGAACACCAGUGGCGAAGGCGACUCUCUGGUCUGUAACUGACGCUGAGGCUCGAAAGCGUGGGUAGCAAACAGGAUUAGAUACCCCAGUAGUC